CGCAAGUUGCGCCCAAAGCCGUCAGGCCGAGGGCACGUCUGCCUGGGCGUCACGC
rnacentral:rRNA from 1 species